AGAGUUUGAUCCUGGCUCAGGAUGAACGCUGGCGGCGUGCCUAAUACAUGCAAGUCGAACGAAUCUCUUUUAGAGAUGAGUGGCGAACGGGUGAGUAAUACAUAGGUAACCUGCCCCUGUGCGGGGGAUAACAGGAGGAAACUCCUGCUAAUACCGCAUAGCCAUGAGCACCGCAUGGAGCUCAUGCCAAAUAUCCUUUAUGGGAUAGCGCAGGGAUGGACCUAUGGCGCAUUAGCUGGUUGGCGGGGCAACGGCCCACCAAGGCAACGAUGCGUAGCCGGCCUGAGAGGGCGGACGGCCACAUUGGGACUGAGACACGGCCCAGACUCCUACGGGAGGCAGCAGUAGGGAAUUUUCGGCAAUGGGGGAAACCCUGACCGAGCAACGCCGCGUGAGCGAAGAAGGCCUUCGGGUCGUAAAGCUCUGUUGUAAAGGAAGAACGGCGCAUACAGGAAAUGGUAUGCGAGUGACGGUACUUUACCAGAAAGCCACGGCUAACUACGUGCCAGCAGCCGCGGUAAUACGUAGGUGGCGAGCGUUAUCCGGAAUCAUUGGGCGUAAAGAGGGAGCAGGCGGCCGCAAGGGUCUGUGGUGAAAGACCGAAGCUAAACUUCGGUAAGCCAUGGAAACCGGGCGGCUAGAGUGCGGAAGAGGAUCGUGGAAUUCCAUGUGUAGCGGUGAAAUGCGUAGAUAUAUGGAGGAACACCAGUGGCGAAGGCGACGGUCUGGGCCGCAACUGACGCUCAUUCCCGAAAGCGUGGGGAGCAAAUAGGAUUAGAUACCCUAGUAGUCCACGCCGUAAACGAUGGUCACUAAGUGUCGGGGGUCAAACCCCGGUGCUGCAGUCAACGCAAUAAGUGACCCGCCUGAGUAGUACGUUCGCAAGAAUGAAACUCAAAUGAAUUGACGG
rnacentral:rRNA from 1 species